rnacentral:sRNA from 1 species
UUUGAAUCAUGCUUACGACCAACUCGAUGAACAAAGCACACCAGUGUUUCGAGGUGCAUGGAAUGAUCAGCUCUGUUUGAUAGGGAUACCUGUUGAAAUAGAUUUGCUUGUGUCCAGUGAUGAAUAUGAGGAAGACGGAAACCGUCAACAUCAAACAUGUAUCGCAGAGCUGUUCGCAUCAAAAGGUACAGAUCUUUCGGGCGCAACAAUAGACGCUUGCUGUGCAAGAAUAACCCUGAGGAAUGCCAACUUGGCUGCUGGCACAACGUAGGGAUUGCCAAUAAUGCGCUUUGCCUUGAAUCGAAGAAAUUCGAGUAUAACGGAAGUAGCUGGUAAAAGUAGCCGAAUGGCAUCCCGUAUGGGAAGAGACAUUAUCUCUGAAUGGACGGUGAAUUUGCAGGUAAUCAGUCCUGUACAGGUUAUGGCGUAAGUCGGGACAAGAAGUUUACAGUCGACGGGCUGUAGGCUCAGACUUGUCUCCCUGUUGACUGAAUAUUGAUGAAGACCAGUAAUGUAUGACGAAGGUCAGGUUGUAAGUAUGAUU